rnacentral:lncRNA from 1 species
UACAGUCGCAGUCUUGUGAUCCCGUAGGAUACACAUUUCAGUCUAACGCCCCGAAGGACGUACAUAUCAGUCUAACGCCCGAGGGACGUGCAUAUCAGUCUAACGCCCGAGGGACGUACAUAUCAGUCUAGUGUUCUGCAGAAACACAUAUCAGUCAAAUGCUCCUGAAGGUGCAAAAUAAAUUGGUGAUCCGUGGGACACCUACAAGGUAAACAUCCCAAUACAAUCUAACAAUUUAUCCCCUCAUUCCAUUCAAUCCAUCUUUCAGUUACUUCAAAACAUAAAGUUCUUUCUCUCAACGUCCUAACAGUCAACUUAUCUCACUUUAGUCAUAUGUCUGUCAAUAAUAUACUAAUAUGUCAGUCAAUCAACUAUACAGUCAAUACACCCCUCAGUUCACCAGCACAAACCACAGUUCAGUAUAAUCCACAUCCAACCGAAAUAAAUUCACUAGUUUACAUCCAAAUCUUUAUACAACACAAUCUAUUAAUAUCAUCAUGUACACAUAAGCAUAAUUUCAGUCAUUCACAUGUAUACUUUCGGCAAUCCACAUCAAUUCACACAUCAAUGUAUAUAUAUAUGUUUCCAGUCAAAUACAACAUACACUAAACAUUUAGUCUGCAACCAAACAUGUACAUCUUAAUCAUCAUCCAUACAGUCCAACACAACUCAAAAACUUUAGGUGAGUCCAGUAGAAAGUCCCUUACCUCAAAGUUGGGGAAGCUUCUUAAUCAACUAACGUCCUCGAAACAAUCCUAAGCACAACAACACAAAACUUCAAUUACUUUCACGAUACAUAUCUCACUUACUUUCCUCAACGUAAGUUCCAACUCACCGAAAUAUUGGCGAACUGAACCCUCAACAAUUCACAAACUGAUUGUGAAUGUAAGGGAGUCUAACGAUACUCCCAACACCUCAACGCACGAAUGUCGAACUCGCAGCAAAAAUCCUAAAUGUGGGUCGGUUAGCGGUCGCGCGACAGUGCUGAAAACAGAGGAGAAAGGAAAGGAAUGGAUGGCGGCUGGCUUGGCUUCGACGGAGACAGGUGUUGCGCGGCGGAACUGGGCAGAGGUCACGCGGCGGCCGACGGUUACAACGGCAGUUGUGGAUCCGAGAAGAGAAGAAAACGACCGGAAAGAAAAAUAGGGGCGGCGGCGGCGGUUGCUGGGCUGCGACGCAGAUCUGGACCGGGCAGCGGCGGAAGAGCAACGGCGCGGUCCUGCUUUGCGAACGGAAAUGGAGACGGCAGAUCGGGCGUUCGGCUUCAGUAGGGAGACGCGACGGUGAGGCUGGGUCUGGAAGGAGCGGAGAGGAGAAGAAAAGAUGGAGAUGACCGGCGGCGGUUGCUGCGCUGCGAACGGGAGAAGGGGAAGGGCGCACGGGAGGAGAAGAGAAGAGAAAAGAAAAAAAGAAAAAGAAAAGAAAAAAAAGAAAAAAAAUAAUAUAUAUACCUUUCCUUCUUUUCUCUUUUUUCUUCGCUCUCUUCUUGGGGCAUUACAAUAUUGCUUAGAGAUAUAUACAAUCAGACAUAUAUAGUGACAUACAAUAAUCGAAAAUAUUUUUCAAUUCAAUCUGUUCUUUAUUUUUUUGUUUAUCUUAUAGUAAUAUUAUGUUGUUAGUCAUAUAAACAUUUAUAUCUUAAGUAUGUUGUAACAACAUUAGUAAACUAUAUAUUAUUAAUAAUUAAUAUUUAAAAUAUAUAUUUAUAUGUAAAUACUACUAAAACAGUAAAAACACAUUCUUAGUGUAUAUAUAAUAUGUAGUGAGAAUAUCAUACAUACAUAUUCUCACUUCGUAUAAUUAUAUACCUUCUAUUUGUCAUAUAUUUUUUAAAUGAACAAUAUAUACUAUAAUAUACUCGUAAAUUAUAAUAUGUUAUGAUGUGAUUUAAUAUAUAAAUACACCUUAUUUACAACAUAAAUAUUUAGUGACAUAUAGUUCUACAUAAUUUUAUAGUUGAAUUUCAAUAUAUAUCACUACAUAGACAGGUUGAUGUUAUCAAUAUACAUUUAUAUAAAUAUAAUAACACGUAUUUGUGACACAUAUAUAGUUCAGUUUUUUUCCUCACGUUUUGUAUCAUUUUCUUUAUAUUUUUCUAUAUUCGAUUAGUAUUUUAUUUGAUUUGUUACAUACAUACUAAUGCAUAUAUUCAAUAAUACAGUAGUUGAAGUUGACAUCAUCCCAUUGAAUGUCAAACGUUCAGUUGGUCAACAAAAAAUAUUAGAAUUCAUUCUAAAAUGAAGUUUUAAAUGUGGUUGUCAUAAACGAAAGAGAUGCAAGCUUCCUUAUUGAACUAAUUUUUCUUUCUUAUAUUAAACUUUUAGUAUGUUGAUUUAUACUUUAUUUGAAAUAUUCAUAUUUCAGUUUUUAAUUUAGUUAUUUUAUUUCUAUAUUUUUCAUAAAUUUUCAUCUACGGUACCAUACAAUUUUUUUCAAUUUAUUAUAUUUAAUAUACUAUUCAUUCAUACAUAACCACUCUUGUUUCAAUCACGAGUUAUUAUUUAUUAUGUAUAGAAUUUUUUAAAAAAUAAUGUAAAUUUUGAAACAUAUGUCAAAAGUAGGUGAAUGCAAAACUAUUGACAAAAAUAGGUGAGUUGAGGUGAAGUUUUGUACCCCUACACAAUUUUCAUGCAGUGGACCCUACAUAGUUUAUUUUUUACUUUAUAUAUAUAUUACAUUGGGCCAACAUUUUUUAUUUUCUCAUUAUUUAUAUACGUGGGUCCCACACACUCUACUUUUUUCAUUAGGUGUGUAUAUAUAAUAAUGACGUAUAUACUAGUACAUGAUACAUAUAUCUUAUGUGAUUUGUUACAUAUAUAUACUACUUCAUAUUUUCAAUAGUACAUAAAUGAUGUCAUCUUUGAUGUACUCAAUAUAUCAUAGUAUAUUUCAAAUACAAAAUAUAAAAUUCUUACUAACCUUAAAUGAACAAUAUAUAUUAUGAUAUAUCCUUAUACUGCUGUUUCAAACAUAACUUAUUAUUAUUAUUACAUAUAAAAUAAAUAUUUGAAAUAAAAUAAAUAAACCAGUUUAACAAAUUGAUUGCAUAACAUUUCAUUCAUAAAAAUAUAUAAUGUAUUGUUUCAUAUACACUAUUCAUAAGUCAAUUUAACAUUCAACCAUUUUUUUUCAUACAAUUUCCUGAAUCUUCAAUUCUUUCAUCAAAGUCCUACAUUACAAACAUAUUCAGUUGAUCUCAACAUUACAUAUUAGUGGUGUUCGCGUUCGGUUUGAAGCUAAAACCGCAUCGAACGCAAAAUGAUAAAAAAAAUCUUCAUUGAAACCGAACCGAACCGCUCAUCUAUGCCAAACCGAAUGAAACCGAACCACAUAUACAUAAAUAAAAUCAAAUCAAAACCGAACGGCUUAUACAAAGUUAUAAACAUAGAAAUUUCAAAUUACAGACAUAGAUGUUUCAAACAUUGAAAUUUGAAAGUCCAACAACACAUAGAAGUUUUAAAAUCCCCCUAAGAUGAAUAAAAGUCCUACAGUCAUGCAAACUUCGUCAAGACAACUUGUCAUUUACGUUUUGAUUAUGUCAUUCUUCUCCUUUUCGUUCCUCUCAUUGAUUUUUGCCUCUAUACCCGCUUUGAAGUCUAAAAAAGUCUUAUUAUUAACACACACAUAUAUAUAUAUAUAUAUAUAUAUAUAUUUAGUUUUUAAAAUAAAGCAAUUCAGUUCGGUUUGAGAAUCGGUUCUUAACAUCUUAAACUGAACCGAACCGAAUUUUAUGUGGUUUUUUUGAAAUAGAAAUCGAAUCGAACCGAACCAUAUGCAUUCGAUUUCGGUUCGAUUAGUGAUUCGAUUCAGUUUUCAACUUCAUUUUGAACACCCCUAUUACAUUACUAGAGAAUAACAAAUUUUUAAUGACAUAUAUUACAUAUACUCAUCAUAAUUAUUUCUCAUUCAUGUUCUUGUAAACAUAAACAACUUUCAUGUAUAAUUAAUAUUAUUUCAAACAUAAUGUAUUAUUUACUAUGUAAGAUAUGAAUAUUUAAAUAAAAUAAAUAAAUAAAUUGAUAUAAGAACAUUUCACUAAUAAAAUAUACAUUAUAUUAUUCAAUAUAUACUAUAAUUAUAUAAAAUAUAUGAAAAAGAAUGCAGAAUAAAAAAGGACAAUUUUUUAAUAAAAUCAUAAAAAGCAAACUAAGGACAAUUUUUAUUAUUAAUAUGUAACGACCCAACUUUUCUAAGUAAGUCGAGGUCGUUAUUAUUUUUACAAAUAAAAGACUUUGAUUAAUAUAAAAAAAACGUAAGCAAUUUAAAAAAAAACAUCUUCAAGUCAGGCCUGAUUUUUAAACAUUCAAGAAAACAUAAAAUAAUACUAUUUACAACAAACGUUUGUAAACUAAAUUUCAAUUCAUUUUAAACCUCACAAGAACCCAUAAGUGGAAGCAAAAACACGUUUCCUAUGCAUCACGCUUCCUUCCUGCCCUCGCCUGUUUGUCGCCUUUAUUACCUUUGCCUGAAAAUUAAACAUAUAUAAGAAGGGUGGGUAUUUAAAUACUCAGUAAGAGACCCUCUACUGGUUUCGUCAGGGGAAAAUAAAUUGUUAAAGUUCUAUUGGGACACCCUGUACAGUCGCAGUCUUGUGAUCCGUAGGAUACACAUCUCAGUCUAAUGCCCCGAGGGACGUACAUAUCAGUCUAACGCCCCAAGGACAUACAUAUCUAGUCUAGUGUUCUGCAGAAACACAUAUCAGUCAAAUGCUCCGAAGGUGCACAAUAAAUUGGUGAUCCCGUGGGACACCUACAAGGUAAACAUCCCAAUACAAUCUAACAAUUUAUCCCCUCAUUCCAUUCAACCCAUCUUUCAGUUACUUCAAGUCACAAAGUUCUUUCUUUCAACAUCCUAACAGUCAACUUAUUUUACUACAGUCAUAUGUCUGUCAAUAAUAUGCUAAUACCGGCGAGGCUGUUCGUGACUAAGGCGUGCGAUUUACCUCGCGAACGGAGAUAAAGACGGCGGCUGGGUUGGCUUCGACGGAGACAGGUGUUGCGCGACAAAACUGGGCAGAGGCGGAAGAGCAAUGGCAGUUACAGGUGGAUGGGCGCGGCGGUUCGAUCCGAAGGAGAAAGAAAACGACCGGAAAGAAAAUAAGGGCGGCGGUUUCUGGGCUACGACGCAGAUCUGGAUCAGACAGUUACGCCGCGGCUGCUGCAAGGCUGCUUCGCGAACGGAGAUGGAGAACGGAGAAGAUGGAUGGGGUCGGGUCGCAAGAAGAUGGGAGAAAAGAAAAGAAAAAGAAAAAGAAGAAAAGAAGAAAAAAAAAUAAAGAAAUUUUUUAAUAUUAAAAUAAAAAUAAUAUAUAUAUAUAUAUAUAAAAAUAUAUAUAUAUAUUUACCUUUUGGGCAUUACAUUCUUCCCUCCUUAAGAAACUUUCGUCCUCGAAAGUUUAAUCCUGAAAUAACUCUGGAUAACGAGUCCUCAUUCUUCCUCUCGCUCCCAUGUCGCCUCUUCAAUUCGAUGAUUCCGCCACAAAACCUUUACUAAUGGAAUGCUUCUAUUACGAAGCAUCUUUACCUCUCUAGCCAGAAUCUCCACAGGUUGUUCUACAUAGCUCAAAUGCUCAUCAAUCUCCAAGGGUUCAUAGUCCACUACAUGAGAUGUAUCGGCCACAUACUUCCUCAACAUCGAACAUGGAAAACAUUAUGAACUGCAGAGAGUGAUGGUGGUAAUGCCAAGCGAUACGCCACAACACCAACCCUCUCUAAGAUCUCAAAUGGUCCAACAAAACGAGGACUUAACUUCCCUUUCUUCUCAAAACGCAUAACACCCUUCAUAGGUGCUACCUUCAAGAAUACCUUUUCUCCCACAUCGAACUUAAGGUCUUUUCGCCGUACAUCUGCAUAACUCUUUGUCUACUCUGCGCUGUUUGCAUACGCGUCUAAUCUUUGAAUAGCCUCAUUAGUAGACCGAACUAAUUCAGGUCCCAUCAACCUAUGUUCACCAACCUCACUCCAACAAACAGGGGUUCUACAACAUUUGCAUACAAAGCCUCAAAUGGUGCCAUACCGAUGGUAGCCUGGAAACUGUUGUUAUAAGCAAACUCCAUCAAAUGUAGAUGAGAGUCCCAACUACCUGGAAACUCUAUAACACAAGCUCGUAGCAUAUCCUCUAAAACUUGGUUCAAACGUUCAGUUUGACCAUCAGUCUGUGGAUGAAAGGCUGUACUGAAAUCCAAUCUCGUACCCAUAGCAGUCUGAAGUCCCUUCCAAAACUUGGAAGUAAACCGUGCAUCCCUAUCAGAAACAAUCGAUACAGGCACUCCAUGCAGUCUCACAAUCUCAGUUAAAUACAACUCUGCCCACUUACUAGCAGUAUAAGUGGAUUUUCCUGGUACAAAAUGUGCCGAUUUCGUAAGCCUGUCUAUGACAACCAAAAUCACUGUGAAACCCUUCAGGGUCUUAGGCAGCCCUGAAAUAAAAUCCAUCGACACAUUCUCCCACUUCCACUCUGGCACACUUAAGGUUGUAACAAACCUGCUGGUUUCUGUCUAGGUGCCUUAACUUGCUGACAUACUAGACACUUACUAACAAAUUCCGCCACUUCCCUUUUCAUAUUCCGCCACCAAUAAAAUCGUUUUAGAUCCUGAUACAUUUUCGUGCUACCAGGAUGCAUGGAAAAUGGGAAUUAUGGGCUUCAUCUAGUAAGUCAAUCUUAACUGUACUGUUCGCUGGCACACAUAAACGUCUCUCAAACAUCAACCCACCAUCAGAGGAUAUGGAGAACUCAUCAGUCUGCCCUGUUUCAACAAGGCGACGUCUCUCCAUCAAAUAAGGAUCAUUACUCUGAGCAUCAACAAUCUUCUGCCUCAGAGUCGGUUGCACCGUUAAUUGAGCUAGCUGUGAGGUGACUCUCCCCACAGACACUGCAAUCUCAGCUCUCUCCAAGUCUCGAUGCAAUGGUACCUGUCUAGUAAUGAGUGCUGCCGAAUGUGAUACUUUUCUACUAAGAGCAUCAGCCACCACAUUCGCCUUACCAGGAUGGUACAAUAUCUCACAGUCAUAAUCUUUUACCAACUCGAGCCACCUUCGCUGUCUCAUAUUCAACUCCUUCUGAGUGAAGAAGUACUUUAGGCUCUUAUGGUCAGUAAAGAUUUGUAUCUUUUCACCGUACAAGUAAUGUCUCCAUAUCUUCAAUGCAAAAACCACUGCUGCCAACUCCAAAUCAUGUGUGGGGUAGUUCUGCUCGUGACUCUUCAACUGACGAGAGGCAUAAGCAACCACCUUACCUUUCUGCAUCAAAACACAACCCAGUCCUUUCUUGGAAGCAUCACUGUAAAUCACAAAACUUCCAGAUCCAUCUGGUACAGUAAGGACCGGUGCAGUAACUAACCUUUGCUUAAGGUUCUGAAAACUAUCCUCACAAGCUGGACUCCAAACAAACGGAGUUCCCUUCCUUGUCAACUGAGUCAAGGAGUAGCCAAACGUGAAAAAUCCUCCACAAACCUCCGGUAGUACCCUGCUAAACCCAGAAAACUACGAACCUCACUAACUGUAGAGGGUCGAGACCAACUGGUAACCGCUUCUAUCUUUGCAGGGUCUACUGAAACUCCCUCACUGGAAACCACAUGACCAAGAAAAGCCACCUGCUUCAACCAAAAUUCGCACUUAGAGAACUUAGCAUACAGUUUAUUGACUCGAAGAGUCUCUAACACCUUAUGUAAGUGUUCCUCAUGUUCGGCUUCAGUCUUGGAAUAAACCAAAAUAUCAUCAAUGAAGACUAUCACAAAAGUGUCCAAGAAAUCCUUAAACACCCUGUUCAUCAAAUCCAUAAAUACAGCAGGUGCAUUAGUCAAACCAAAAGACAUUACUAUGAAUUCAUAAUGUCCAUACCUCGAACGAAAAGCAGUCUUAGGAAUAUCACGGUCUCUAAUCCUCAACUGGUGAUAACCUGACCGUAAGUCAAUCUUAGAGAACACCGUGGCUCCCUGUAACUGAUCGAACAAAUCAUCGAUUCUGGGUAAAGGAUAUCUGUUCUUGACUGUUACUUUAUUCAACUCUCUAUAGUCAAUGCAAAGACGCAUCGACCCAUCCUUCUUCUUCACAAACAAUACUGGUGCACCCCAAGGUGACACACUAGGUCGAAUAAAGCCUUUGUCAAGCAAUUCCUGUAACUGUACCUUCAGUUCUUUCAACUCAGCAGGAGCCAUCCUAUAAGGGGCUCUAGAAAUAGGAGUAGUGUUUGGCUCCAACUCAAUGGCAAAAUCAACCUCUCUAUGUGGCGGUAGUCCUGGAAGAUCUUUUGGAAAUACAUCUGGGUAUUCUCUUACCACAGGUUCUGAAGUUAAAGAAGUCUCACCUUCCCUAGUAUCCACCACACUUGCCAAAAUACUCCAAGUACCCUGGUUGAGUAGUUUACUAGCUUUCAUAGCUGAGAUUACUUUAGGCAGUACUACUGUUCCUACCCCUUGAAUUUAAAGCUAGAUGCAGUAGGGGGACUGAACACAACUUCCUUACGAGAACAAUCAAUACUAGCAUGAUUAGUAGCUAGCCAAUCCAUACCUAAAUUACAUCAAAGUCACGCAUAUCUAAUACCAACAAGGUUACGUCCAGCACACGACCAGCUAUCUCAAUUUCACAUGCUUUAAUCUUUUCCUUAGACAACAUAAUUUCUCCAGACGGUGUAGACACUGACAAAACAUAGUCUAAGGGUUCCACCUCUAAGCAUGCAUGCGUCACAAAAAGCGAUGAAAUAAAUGAAUGAGAAGAUCCCGAGUCAAACAAGGUCAAGGCAAAAUGCCCUAACACUGGUAAUGUACCUGUCACUACUGUGCCGGCCUUCUCUGCCUCUGAUCUAUUAGUGGCAAAGAUUGUACCCCGCUGUGGAGGUCUCUCUCCCUGACUGCUCGAUCCAGCCCCAGUAGAUCUCAAGGGACACCUAUCAGCCAUGUGUCCCUCUUGCUUGCACUUAUAACAGACUCUCGUUCCCAUCAAACAACGACCCAGGUGGCGUUUCCCACACGUAUUACAUACUGGCCUCUCUGAGUAGUGUCUCCUGCACCGCCAGAACUCUGCUGGAAACUGCGAAAAGGAAUCGCCUGGUCUCAAGUUCCUCUGAGGAACUCCUACAGUUCUCUGCUCUACUUUUCUCUUUUGACCCGACGACGAUCCCUUAUAAAGCUCCUUGGCUGUAUUUCAUCCUUCCCAACUCAUAUCCACUGCCAGACGCAGUGCUUCAGCUUGGGUAGUGGGCUUUAGUGCUCGCACAAACCCCUAAUUUCAUCUCUCAAUCCCUUGACGAACCUAUCAGCUCUAGCCUGCUCAUUACUAACAAGCUCAGGGGCAAAACGUGACAGCAUAUCAAACUCCUGGUCGUACUCCUCGACUGUCAUAUAUCCUUGCUUCAACUCCAAGAAUUCCUGGCUUUUGGCGUCUCUAAGGUUAGCCGAGAAAAACUUGGUAUAGAAGCAGUCCUUAAACUGAUCCCAGGUAAUUUGCCUCACAUCUCCACCUAGCAUGCGCAUUGUAGUCCUCCACCAGAUAAUGCCUCUGUCCCUCAGUAGAAAAGCAGCACACUGAACUCUGUGCUCCUCGACAUCUCAUGUAAUUAAAUAUGGUUUCCACAGAGGACAACCACAUUUCAGCUUUAGUAGGAUCCUCCAGUGACCCAUCAAACGUCUGAGGGUCAUACUUCCGAAAGUCCCUCAAAUGUUUCGCCUCAGCAGAAAGUUGGUUGGUAAUUCUUGUGCAGGAGGGGCUGCUGGUGCGGGAACUACAGGUGCAGUGGAACCGCAGGUGCCUGCUGGUUUUGAGCUAUAGCUGUCAUAAGUUCUGUAAACCUCUGCUCCAUGUGAGCAGACAGUGCAUCAAACUCAACGUGAGUCACGGGUGCAGCAGGAAUUCGCUGUUCAGCUUGACCCUCAGUAGGCUGAUUACGACCUGCUCCUCUACCUCGGCCUCCUACUCCUCUACCUCGGCCUCUACGACCUCCUCUACGUACCUUCCCUUGGCGGCAUAAUUCCUAUUAUCCACCAACAACACUCUUUAACAAAAUCUUAAUCAUAACAUAAGCAAGUCUUUAUCGUCAUGCAAUCUAGUUUAAUUUAGGCAAGGUCAUGCAAAUAAACCAUACAUAUAAGCAUCAAGCAUACCUGACGAGAGACGAAGGGUCGCGUUAGCCAUAGGAAACAAAAACAUAGACUUACAUCGUAAGUCAGUCUACAGAACCUAAAACUUAGGCUCUGAUACCAACUGUAACGACCCAACUUUUCUAAGUAAGUCGAGGUCGUUAUUAGUUUUUUACAAAUAAAAGACUUUGAUUAAUAUAAAACAAAACGUAAGCAAUUUAAAAAAAACAUCUUCAAGUCAGGCCUGAUUUUUAAACAUUCAAGAAAACAUAAAAUAAUACUAUUUACAACAAACGUUUGUAAACUAAAUUUCAAUUCAUUUUAAACCUCACAAGAACAUAAGGGAAGCAAAAACACGUUUCCUAUGGCAUCACGCUUCCUUCCUCCCCUCGCCUGUUUGCCGCCUUUAUUACCUUUGCCUGAAAAUUAAACAUAAGAAGGGUGAGUAUUUAAAUACUCAGUAAGAGACCCUCUACUGGUCUCGUCAGGGGAAAAUAAAUUGUUAAAGUUCUAUUGGGACACCCUGUACAGUCGCAGUCUUGUGAUCCCGUAGGAUACACAUCUCAGUCUAACGCCGAGGGACGUACAUAUCAGUCUAGUGUUCUGUAGAAACACAUAUCAGUCAAAUGCUCCCGAAGGUGCACAAUAAAUUGGUGAUCCCGUGGGACACCUACCAGGUAAACAUCCCAAUACAAUCUAACAAUUUUCCCCUCAUUCUAUUCAACCCAUCUUUCAGUUACUUCAAGUCACAAAGUUCUUUCUUUCAACAUCCUAACAGUCAACUUAUUUUACUACAGUCAUAUGUCUGUCAAUAAUAUGCUAAUACAUCAGUCAAUCCACUAUACAGUCAAUGCACCCCUUAGUUCACCAGCACACAGUCAUACUUUAGCGUAAUCAUACACCCAAUCUAAACGAGAAUCUCAUACAAACACAAUCUACAAUCUCCGUCCUGUCCACAUACCCACAUUUAUACAUAGAUUCCAUGACAAUCACGACAUACAUUCAACGUCAAGUCUACUUCAAUUCAUAUAUAUUUUCAGUCAACCCACAGUAUACAUUCAACACACAUACAGUUCACAAUCACAGUUCACAAUCACAAUUGAGUCCAGUAGAAAAUCCUUACCUCGAUUUUAUGUAAAAUUUCUUGGUCGAACUAAUUCCAACAAACAAACCCCAAAGAGUAAAGAAUCGAAUUCCAACAAAGCUUAAGGCGUAACUCAAGGACACUAACUCCAAAUAACCGAUGUCGCCUUCAAGAACAAACAUCAAUUCAACCAAUUAAACAAACAUCACAUCUUAAUGUAUUUACAAAUGUAAAACCUUAUUACCCAACAAUCUCAUCCUUACCAAUAACUUAUAACAAGACUUUGACAAUCGACGUUAAAAUAGAAGUUGCCGCAGCAGGAUCUACACAAAAGAAAUCGUGCAAACAAAUCUGCACGCGAAUCGGUCCACAAUUCGUAAAUGGACAGCGGGUAUCGACGAAGGCAGAAUGGUUCGGACGUUCAACAGCAGUUACGCGCAGACGGGAGUAGCCCGGUAACGUAGCCGAACUCGUGCGAUGCGGCGUGACCUGCGUCGGCGAGGCUGUUUGUGACUGAGGCGUGCGAUUUGCCUCGCGAACGGAGAUAGAGACGGCGGCUGGAUUGGCUUAGACGGAGACAGGUGUUGCGCGGCAAAACUGGGCAGAGGCGGAAGAGCAACGACAGUUACAGGUGGAUGGGCGUGGCGGUUUCGAUCCGAAGGAGAAAGAAAACGACCGGAAAGAAAAUAAGGGCGGCGGUUUCUGGGCUGCGACGCAGAUCUGGAUCAGACAGUUACGCGGCGGCUGCUGCAAGGCUGCUUCGCGAACGGAGAUGGAGAACGGAGUGGAGAAGAUGGAUACGGGUCGCGGUCGCACGGGGAAGAAGAUGGGAGAAAAGAAAAGAAAAAGAAAAGAAGAAAAGAAGAGAAAAAAAAUAAAGAAAUUUUUUAAUAUUAAAAUAAAAGUAAUAUAUAUAUAUAUAUAUAUAUAUUAUAUAUAUAUUAUAUAUAUAUUUACCUUUUCUUUGGGCAUUACAUAAUAUUACUUUAAUAGAAUUUAAUCCAUAUUUUCAUAGAAUAUUUAAUAAAUGAAAAUCUUAAACGUGGUUCACUUUUCUUUUUAUUUUUAAUAUAUUAUUAAUAAUAAAAAGAGUAAAUUGGUCAUUUUUACUCUAUAUUUGUAUAAAAUAUUAGUCAAUUUAUGAUAUUUUUGAAAAUUUUAAAAAAUUUAUUGCAAUUAAUUUGUAACAUGGUAUACAAUUUGAGUACACUUAGAUAAAAAUUCAAAGAAAAAAAAAUAAUUUCACAUUAUAUAAGAUCAAGUCUAAACGGUAUAAAUUGAACCGCUUGUUAAAACCGAAUCAAACCACACCAUUUAUGUACAAACAAAAAACACAGUUUGUUGCUGUCUCAAAUAGUCCAAACCGAAUUUAAAUGGUUCGGUCUAUUUCAGCUUCAGUCUUCUGGAAUUCAAGGAAAUUUUGAUCUUCCAAGUCUUCAAUAUUUCAGAAGACGAUGAUCUCGAAGUUGAUAAAAACUUGCACGUCUUGAGAGCUCUAUAGAAGUUUGAAUCUUCAAUUCUUCAAAGCUUCAGUACUUCAGAGCUUCAUUUCUUCCUUCAACAAAAGAUCUCUCGAAUGAAUGACAAAGGUCUACUUAUAGAGAAAAUUUGUGGACUUUAUGUGGGCUUUGGACCCAUUUUCUUGUUGAGUUGUUGAGCUUGGACUUGGGCUUGGGCCCAUUUUCUUAGUGGGCUUAGGCCCCUUUGUUUGGCCUGAUUUUUUAUCAGGGGCUUGAAUUGGGUUGGAAAACUUGACUACCCAAUCCAAUCAAAUUAUAAUCAUCACAACUUGGGUGCGACGACGUGGUGUAAUUUCAUUGGUUGAAAUUUCUUGCUCAACAAUUACAUUUAUACUACUCCAUAAUACAUAUAUAUUAUGUGAUUUGUUUACAUAUAUACUACCUCAUUAUGUAAUAUUGCUUAGAGAUAUAUACAAUCAGACAUAUAUAGUGACAUACAGUAAUCGAAAAUAUUUUUCAAUUCAAUCUGUUCUUUAUUUUUUUGUUUAUCUUAUAGUAAUAUUAUGUUGUUAGUCAUAUAAACAUUUAUAUCUUAAGUAUGUUGUAACAACAUGUAGUAAACUAUAUAUUCAUUUAUAAUUAAUAUUUUAAAAUAUAUAUUUAUAUAGUAAAUACUACUAAAACAGUAAAAUACACAUUCUUAGUGUAUAUAUAUAUAUGCAGUGAGAAUAUCAUACAUACAUAUUCUCACUUCGUAUAAUUAUAUACCUUCUAUUUGUCAUAUAUUUUUUAAAUGAACAAUAUAUACUAUAAUAUACUCGUAAAUUAUAAUAUGUUUAUGAUGUGAUUUAAUAUAUAGAUACACCUUAUUUACAACAUAAAUAUUUAGUGACAUAUAGUUCUACAUAAUUUAUAGUUGAAUUUCAAUAUAUAUCUGUAACGACCCAACUUUUAUAGGUAAGUCGAGGUCAUUAAUUUUUAACAAAAGACUUUGGUUGAUACAAAAUGAAACGUAAGUCAAUUUAAAAACAAUUUAUGUAAGGCCUGAUUUUCAAAUAUUCAAGAAAACUUAAAAAUAACACUAUUUACAAAUAAAAGUUUGUAAACUAAGUUUUAGUACAUCUUAAACCUCAAAAGAAACCAUAAGCGGAAGCAAAAUGACACAUUUCCUAUGGCAAUCACGCUUCCUUCCUGCCCCUCGCCGGUUUGCCACCUUUAUUUCCUUUGCCUGAAAAUUAAACAUAAGAAGGGUGAGUAUAACAAUACUCAGUAAGAGACCCUCUACUGGUCUCGUCAGGGGAAAAUAAAUUGUUAAAGUUCUAUUGGGACACCCUGUACAGUCGCAGUCUUGUGAUCCCGUAGGAUACACAUCUCAGUCUAACGCCCCGAGGAACGUACAUAUCAGUCUAACGCCCGAGGGACGUACAUAUCAGUCUAGUGUUCUGCAGAAACACAUAUCAGUCAAAUGCUCCCGAAGGUGCAAAAUAAAUUGGUGAUCCGUGGGACACCUACAAGGUAAACAUCCCAAUACAAUCUAACAAUUUAUCCCUCAUUCCAUUCAAUCCAUCUUUCAGUUACUUCAAAACAUAAAGUUCUUUCUCUCAACGUCCUAACAGUCAACUUAACUCACUUUAGUCAUAUGUCUGUCAAUAAUAUACUAAUACGUCAGUCAAUCAAACUAUACAGUCAAUACACCCCUCAGUUCACCAGCACAAACCACAGUUCAGUAUAAUCCACAUCCAACCGAAACAAAUUCACUAGUUCACAUCCAAAUCUUUAUACAACACAAUCUAUUAAUAUCAUCAUGUACACAUAAGCAUAAUUUCAGUCAUUCACAUGUAUACUUUCGGCAAUCCACAUCAAUUCACACAACAAUGUAUAUAUAUAUGUUUCCAGUCAAAUACAACAUACACUAAACAUUUAGUCUGCAACCAAACAUGUACAUCUUAAUCAUCAUCCAUACAGUCCAACACAACUCAAAAACUUUAGGUGAGUCCAGUAGAAAGUCCCUUACCUCAAAGUUGGGGAAGCUCCUUAAUCAACUAACGUCCUCGAAACAAUCCUAAGCACAACAACACAAAAUUCAAUUACUUUCACGAUACAUAUCUCACUUACUUUCCUCAACGUAAGUUCCAACUCACCGAUAUAUUGGCAAACUGAACCCUCAACAAUUCACAAAUUGGUUGUGAAUUUAAGUGAUCCAAAGUUACCUUUCACACCUUCAAGAAUAAUUUAUCAAAUUAGUCAAUUAACCCAUCCGUAACGUUUGAACACCUUGAAAACAUCACAACCCAUACUUAAAUUGUUUUGUAAACGACUACAAUUUCAUAACUUCAAUCUUACCAACAAAACUUCGACAGAGACAGAGACGAUUAGGAUGGGGCACGGCGACGCAGAUCUGGGUAACGGCGCAGAGACAGAGGUCGCGCGGCGGUGCUGGGCAGAGGUCACGCGGCGGCUGACGGUUGCAGCGGCAGUUUUUGGAUCGAAGAGAAAAAAAGGGUGGCGGUUGGGUUCGACUUCGGUGAACGGAGACAGAAACAGACGAAACCGGUGGACGGCUCGAUCUAGCGGUGCAGAUCUGGACAGAGGGUCACACGGCGGUGGGCGGAAGGUCACGCGGCGGCCUUGCUUCGCAACAGAGACGGCGGCCGACGGUUGCAGCGGCGGUUUGGCUUGGCCUGACCGUCGACGUCGAACGAAAGAGGAAGAAAGAAAAGAAGGGGUGGUUGGACUGCGGCUGCGCACGAACGGAAAGAGAAUAGAUGGGGCGGCGGUUGCUGCGAACGGGAAGGAGAACGCACGGGGAGGAAGGAGAAGAGAGAAAAGAAAAGAAAAAGAAAAGAAAAGAAAUAUAUAUAUAUAUAUAUAUAUAAAUUAAAAAAAAUGUAUAUAUAUAUAUAUUUUUUACCUUUGGGACUUUACAUUCUUCCCCCCUUAAGAAACUUUCGUCCUCGAAAGUUCUAAUCCUGAAAUAACUCUGGAUAACGAGUCCUCAUCUCUUCUUCUCGCUCCCAUGUCGCUUCUUCAAUUCGAUGAUUCUGCCACAAAACUUUACUAAUGGAAUGCUUCUAUUACGAAGCAUCUUUACCUCUCUAGCCAGAAUCUCCACAGGUUGUUCUACAUAGCUCAAAUGCUCAUCAAUCUCCAAGGGUUCAUAGUCUACUACAUGAGAUGUAUCCACACAUACUUCCUCAACAUCGAAACAUGGAAAAUAUUAUGAACUGCAGAGAGAGAUGGUGGUAAUGCCAAGCGAUACGCCACAACACCAACCCUCUCUAAGAUCUCAAAUGGUCCAACAAAACGAGGACUUAACUUUCCUUUCUUCUCAAAACGCAUAACACCCUUCAUAGGUGCUACCUUCAAGAAUACCUUUUCUCCCACAUCGAACUUAAGGUCUUUUCGCUGUACAUCCGCAUAACUCUUCUGUCGACUCUGCGCUGUUUGCAUAAGUGCUCUAAUAUUUUGAAUAGCCUCAUUAGUAGACCGAACUAAUUCAGGUCCCAUCAAUCUAUGUUCACCAACCUCACUCCAACAAACAGGGGUUCUACAACAUUUGCCAUACAAAGCCUCAAAUGGUGCCAUACCGAUGGUAGCCUGAAAACUGUUGUUAUAAGCAAACUCCAUCAAAUGUAGAUGAAAGUCCCAACUACCUAGAAACUCUAUAACACAAGCUCGUAGCAUAUCCUCUAAAACUUGGUUCAAACGUUCAGUUUGACCAUCAGUCUGUGGAUGAAAAGCUGUACUGAAAUCCAACCUCGUACCCAUAGCAGUCUGAAGUCCCUUCCAAAACUUGGAAGUAAACCGUGCAUCCCUAUCAGAAACAAUCGAUACAGGCACUCCAUGCAGUCUCACAAUCUCAGUUAAAUACAACUCUGCCCACUUACUAGCAGUAUAAGUGGAUUUCCCUGGUACAAAAUGUGCCGAUUUCGUAAGUCUGUCUAUGACAACCAAAAUCACUGUGAAACCCUUCAGGGUCUUAGGCAGCCCUGAAAUAAAAUCCAUCGACACAUUCUCCCACUUCCACUCUGGCACACUUAAGGGUUGUAACAAACCUGCUGGUUUCUGUCUAGGUGCCUUAACUUGCUGACAUACUAGACACUAACUAACAAAUUCCGCCACUUCCUUUUCAUAUUCCGCCACCAAUAAAAUCGUUUUAGAUCCUGAUACAUUUUCGUGCUACCAGGAUGCAUUGGAAAUGGGGAAUUAUGGGCUUCAUCUAGUAAGUCAAUCUUAACUGUACUGUUCGCUGGCACACACAAACGUCUUUCAAACAUCAACCCACCAUCAGAGGAUAUGGAGAACUCAUCAGUCUGCCCUGUUUCAACAAGGCGACAUCUCUCCAUCAAAUAAGGAUGACUACUCUGAGCAUCAACAAUCUUCUGCCUUAGAGUCGGUUGCACCGUUAAUUGAGCCAACUGUGAGGUGACUCUCCCCACAGACACUGCAAUCUCAGCUCUCUCCAAGUCUCGAUGCAAUGGUACCUGUCUAGUAAUGAGUGCUGCCGAAUGUGAUACUUUUCUACUAAGAGCAUCAGCCACCACAUUCGCCUUACCAGGAUGGUACAAUAUCUCACAGUCAUAAUCUUUUACCAACUCGAGCCACCUUCGUUGUCUCAUAUUCAACUCCUUCUAAGUGAAGAAGUACUUUAGGCUCUUAUGGUCAGUAAAGAUUUGUAUCUUUUCACCGUACAAGUAAUGUCUCCAUAUCUUCAAUGCAAAAACCACUGCUGCCAACUCCAAAUCAUGUAUGGGGUAGUUCUGCUCGUGACUCUUCAACUGACGAGAGGCAUAAGCAACCACCUUACCUUUCUGCAUCAUAACACAACCCAGUCCUUUCUUGGAAGCAUCACUGUAAAUCACAAAACUUCCAGAUCCAUCUGGUACAGUAAGGACCGGUGCAGUAACUAACCUUUGCUUUAAGUUCUGAAAACUGUCCUCGCAAGCUGGACUCCAAACAAACGGAGUUCCCUUCCUUGUCAACUGAGUCAAAGGAGUAGCCAAACAUGAAAAAUCCUCCACAAACCUCCGGUAGUACCCUGCUAAACCCAGAAAACUACGAACCUCACCAACUGUAGAGGGUCGAGACCAACUGGUAACCGCUUCUAUCUUUGCAGGGUCUACUGAAACUCCCUCACUGGAAACCACAUGACCAAGAAAAGUGUCUAAGAAAUCCUUAAACACCCUGUUCAUCAAAUCCAUAAAUACAGCAGGUGCAUUAGUCAAACCAAAAGACAUUACUAUGAAUUCAUAAUGUCCAUACCUCGAACGAAAAGCAGUCUUAGGAAUAUCACGGUCUCUAAUCCUCAACUGGUGAUAACCUGACCAUAAUUCAAUCUUAGAGAACACUGUGGCUCCCUGUAACUGAUCGAACAAAUCAUCGAUUCUGGGUAAAGGAUAUCUGUUCUUGACUGUUACUUUAUUCAACUCUCUAUAGUCAAUGCAAAGACGCAUCGACCCAUCCUUCUUCUUCACAAACAAUACUGGUGCACACCAAGAUGACACACUAGGUCGAAUAAAGCCUUUGUCAAGCAAUUCCUGUAACUGUACCUUCAAUUCUUUCAACUCAGCAGGAGCCAUCCUAUAAGGGGCUCUAGAAAUAGGAGUAGUGUUUGGCUCCAACUCAAUGGCAAAAUCAACCUCUCUAUGUGGCGGUAGUCCUGGAAGAUCUUUUGGAAACACAUCUGGGUAUUCUCUUACCACAGGUUCUGAAGUUAAAGAAGUCUCACCUUCCCUAGUAUCCACCACACUUGCCAAAAUACUCCAAGUACCCUGGUUGAGUAGUUUACUAGCUUUCAUAGCUGAGAUUACUUUAGGCAGUACUACUGUUCCUACCCCCUUGAAUUUAAAGCUAGAUGCAGUAGGGGGACUGAACACAACUUCCUUACGAGAACAAUCAAUACUAGCAUGAUUAGUAGCUAGCCAAUCCAUACCUAAAAUUACAUCAAAGUCACACAUAUCUAAUACCAACAAGGUUACGUCCAGCACACGACCAGCUAUCUCAAUUUCACAUGCUUUAAUCUUUUCCUUAGACAACAUAAUUUCUCCAGACGGUGUAGACACUGACAAAACAUAGUCUAAGGGUUCCAUCUAAGCAUGCAUGCAUCACAAAAAGCGAUGAAAUAAAUGAAUGAGAAGAUCCCGAGUCAAACAAGGUCAAGGCAAAAUGCCCUAACACUGGUAAUGUACCUGUCACUAUUGUGCCGACCUUCUCUGCCUCUGAUCUAUUAGUGGCAAAGAUUGUACCACGCUGUGGAGGUCUCUCUCCCUGACUGCUCGAUCCAGCCCAGUAGAUCUCAAGGGACACCUAUCAGCCAUGUGUCCCUCUUGCUUGCACUUAUAACAGACUCUCGUUCCAUCAAACAACGACCCAGGUGGCGUUUCCCACAUGUAUUACAUACUGGCCUCUCUCGAGUAGUGUCUCCUGCACCGCCAGAACUCUGCUGGAAACUGCGAAAAGGAUCGCCUGGUCUCAAGUUCCUCUGAGGAACUCCUACAGUUCUCUACUCUACUUUUCUCUUUUGACCCGACGACGAUCCCUUAUCAAAGCUCCUUGGCUGUAUUUCAUCAUUCCCAAUGCUCAUAUCCACUGUCAGACGCAGUGCUUCAGCUUGGGUAGUGGGCUUUAGUGCUCGCACAAAGCCCCUAAUUUCAUCUCUCAAUCCCUUGACGAACCUAUCAGCUCUAGCCUGCUCAUUACUAACAAGCUCAGGGGCAAAACGUGACAGCAUAUCAAACUCCUGGUCGUACUCCUCGACUGUCAUAUAUCCUUGCUUCAACUCCAAGAAUUCCUGGCUUUUGGCGUCUCUAAGGUUAGCCGAGAAAAACUUGGUAUAGAACAGUCCUUAAACUGAUCCCAGGUAAUUUGCCUCAAUCUCCACCUAGCAUGCGCAUUGUAGUCCCCACCAGAUAAUGCCUCUGUCCCUCAGUAGAAAACAGCACACUGAACUCUGUGCUCCUCGGGACAUCUCAUGUAAUUAAAUAUGGUUUCCACAGAGGACAACCACAUUUCAGCUUUAGUAGGAUCCUCCAGUGACCCAUCAAACGUCUGAGGGUCAUACUUCUGAAAGUCCCUCAAAUGUUUCGCCUCAGCAGAAAGUUGGUUCGGUAAUCCUUGUGCACGAGGGGCUGCAGUGCAGGGGGAACUACAGGUGCAGUGGAACCGCAGGUUCCUGCUGGUUUUGAGCUAUAGCUGUCAUAAGUUUUGUAAACCUCUGCUCCAUGUGAGCAGACAGUGCAUCAAACUCAACGUGAGUCACGGGUGCAGCAGGAAUUCGCUGUUCAGCUUGACCCUCAGUAGGCUGAUUACGACCUGCGCCUCUACCUCGACCUCCUACUCCUCUACCUCGCCUCUACGACCUCCUCUACGUACACCCUCCUUGGCGGCAUAAUUCCUAUUAUCCACCAACAACACUCUUUAACAAAAUCUUAAUCAUAAGCAUAAGCAAGUCUUUAUCGUCAUGCAAUCUAGUUUAAUUUAGGCAAGGUCAUGCAAAUAAACCAUACAUAUAAGCAUCAAGCAUACCUGACGAGAGACGAAGGGUCGCGUUAGCCAUAGGAACACAAAAACAUAGACUUACAUCGUAAGUCAGUCUACAGAACCUAAAACUUAGGCUCUGAUACCAACUGUAACGACCAACUUUCUAUGUAAGUCGAGGUCGUUAUUAUUUUUUUUACACCUCACAAGAACCCAUAAGUGGAAGCAAAAACACGUUUCCUAUAGCAUCACGCUUCCUUCCUGCCCCUCGCCUGUUUGGCGCCUUUAUUACCUUUGCCUGAAAAUUAAACAUAAGAAGGGUUAGUAUUUAAAUACUCAGUAAGAGACCCUCUACUGGUCUCGUCAGGGGAAAAUAAAUUGUUAAAGUUCUAUUGGGACACCCUGUACAGUCGCAGUCUUGUGAUCCCGUAGGAUACACAUCUCAGUCUAACGCCUCGAGGGACGUACAUAUCAGUCUAACGCCCCGAGGGACGUACAUAUCAGUCUAGUGUUCUGCAGAAACACAUAUCAGUCAAAUGCUCCCGAAGGUGCACAAUAAAUUGGUGAUCCCGUGGGACACCUACAAGGUAAACAUCCCAAUACAAUCUAAAAAUUUUCCCCUCAUUCCAUUCAACCCAUCUUUCAGUUACUUCAAGUCACAAAGUUCUUUCUUUCAACAUCCUAACAGUCAACUUAUUUUACUACAGUCAUAUGUCUGUCAAUAAUAUGCUAAUACAUCAGUCAAUCCACUAUACAGUCAAUGCACCCCUCAGUUCACCAGCACACAGUCAUACUUUAGCGUAAUCAUACACCCAAUCUAAACGAGAAUCUCAUACAAACACAAUCUACAAUCUCCGUCCUGUCCAUAUACACACAUUUAUAUAUAGAUUCCAUGACAAUCACGACAUACAUUCGACGUCAAGUCUACUUCAAUUCAUAUACAUUCAUAUAUAUUUUCAGUCAACCCACAGUAUACAUUCAACACACAUACAGUUCACAAUCACAGUUCACAAUCACAAUUGAGUCCAGUAGAAAAUCCCUUACCUCGAUUUUAUGUAAAAUUUCUUGGUCGAACUAAUUCCAACAAACAAACCCCAAAGAGUAAAGAAUCGAAUUCCAACAAAGCUUAAGGCGUAACUCAAGGACAGUAACUCCAAAUCACCGAUGUCGCCUUCAAGAACAAACAUCAAUUCAACCAAUUAAACAAACAUCACAUCUUAAUGUAUUUACAAAUGUAAAACCUUAUUACCCAACAAUCUCAUCCUUACCAAUAACUUAUAACAAGACUUUGACAAUCAACGUUAAAAUAGAAGUUGCCGCAGCAGGAUCUACACAAAAGAAAUCGUGCAAACAAAUCUGCACGCGAAUCGGUCCACAAUUCGUAAAUGGACAGCGAGUAUCGACGAAGACAGAAUGGUUCGGACGUUCAACAGCAGUUACGCGCGGACGGGAGUAGCCCGGCAACGUAGCCGAACUCGUACGAUGCGGCGUGACCUGCGUCGGCGAGGCUGUUCGUGACUGAGGCGUGCGAUUUGCCUCGCGAACGGAGAUAGAGACGACGGCUGGGUUGGCUUCGACGGAGACAGGUGUUGCGCGGCAAAACUGGGCAGAGGCGGAAGAGCAACGGCAGUAACAGGUGGAUGGUCGUGGCAGUUUCGAUCCGAAGGAGAAAGAAAACGACCGGAAAGAAAAUAAGGGCGGCGGUUCCCGGGCUGCGACGCAGAUCUGGAUCAGACAGUUACGCGGCGGCUGCUGCAAGGCUGCUUCGCGAACGGAGAUGGAGAACGGAGUGGAGAAGAUGGAUAGGGGUCGCGGUCGCACGGGGAAGAAGAAGGGAGAAAAGAAAAGAAAAAGAAAAGAAGAAAAGAAGAGAAAAAAAUAAAGAAAUUUUUUAAUAUUAAAAUAAAAAUAAUAUAUAUAUAUAUAUAUAUAUAUAUAUAUAUAUAUUUACCUUUUCUUUGGGCAUUACAUAAUAUUACUUUAAUAGAAUUUAAUCCAUAUUUUCAUAGAAUAUUUAAUAAAUGAAAAUCUUAAACGUGGUUCACUUUUCUUUUUAUUUUUAAUAAUAUUAUUAAUAAUAAAAAGAGUAAAUUGGUUUAGAGGAUAUGCUACGAGCUUGUGUUAUAGAGAAUAUCAUACAUACAUAUUAACAUAUAUAUAUAUAUAUAUAUUUAGUUUUUAAAAUAAAGCAAUUCAGUUCGGUUUGAGAAUCGGUUCUUAACAUCUUAAACUGAACCGAACCGAAUUUUUAUGUGGUUUUUUUUAAAUAGAAAUCGAAUCGAACCGAACCAUAUGCAUUCGAUUUCGGUUCGAUUAGUGAUUCGAUUCAGUUUUCAACUUCAUUUUGAACACCCCUAUUACAGAUACUAGAGAAUAACAAAUAUUUUAAUGACAUAUAUUACAUAUACUCAUCAUAAUUAUUUCUCAUUCAUGUUCUUGUAAACAUAAACAACUUUCAUAUAUAAUUAAUAUUAUUUCAAACAUAAUGUAUUAUUUACUACGUAAGAUAUGAAUACUUAAAUAAAAUAAAUAAAUAAAUUGAUAUAAGAACAUUUCACUAAUAAAAUAUACAUUAUAUUAUUCAAUAUAUACUAUAAUUAUAUAAAAAUAUAUGAAAAAGAAUGCAAAAUAAAAAAUGACAAUUUUUUAAUAAAAUCAUAAAAAGCAAACUAAGGACAAUUUUUAUUAUUAAUAUUACUUUAAUAGAAUUAAUCCAUAUUUUCAUAGAAUAUUUAAUAAAUGAAAAUCUUAAACGUGGUUCACUUUUCUUUUUAUUUUUAAUAUAUUAUUAAUAAUAAAAAGAGUAAAUUGGUCAUUUUUACUCUAUAUUUGUAUAAAAUAUUAGUCAAUUUAUGAUAUUUUUGAAAAUUUUAAAAAAUUUAUUGCAAUUAAUUUUGUAACAUGGUAUACAAUUUUGAGUACACUUAGAUAAAAAUUCAAAAGAAAAAAAAUUUCACAUUAUAUAAGAUCAAGUCUAAACGGUAUAAAUUGAACCGCUGUUAAAACCGAAUAAACAAACCACACCAUUUAUGUACAAAACAAAAAACACAGUUUGUUGCUGGCUCAAAUAGUCCAAACCGAAUUUAAAUGGUUCGGCGUCUAUUUCAGCUUCAGUCUUCUGGAUUCAAGGAAAUUUUGAUCUUCCAAGUCUUCAAUAUUUCAGGAGAUGAUGAUCUCGAAGUUGAUAAAGAACUUGCACGUCUUGAGAGCUCUAUAGAAGUUUGAAUCUUCAAUUCUUCAAAGCUUCUGUACUUCAGAGCUUCAUUUCUUCCUUCAACAAAAGAUCUCUCGAAUGAAUGACAAAGGUCUCUAUUUAUAGAGAAAAUUUUGUGGACUUUAUGUGGGCUUGGACCCAUUUGCUUGUUGAGUUGUUGAGCUUGGACUUGGGCUUGGGCCCAUUUUCUUAGUGGGCUUAGGCCCCUUUAUUUGGCCUGAUUUUUUUAUCAGGGGCUUGAAUUGGGUUGGAAAACUUGACUACCCAAAUCCAAUCAAAUUAUAAUCAUCACAACUUGGGUGUGACGACGUGGUGUAAUUUCAUUGGUUGAAAUUUCUUGCUCAACAAUUACAUUUAUACUACUCCAUAAUACAUAUAUAUGUUGUUAGUCAUAUAAAAACAUUUACUGUAACGACCCAACUUUUCUAAGUAAGUCGAGGUCGUUAUUUUUUUUUUUUCAAAUAAAGACUUUGUUUAAUAUAAAACAAAACGUAAGCAAUUUAAAAAAAACAUCUUCAAGUCAGGCCUGAUUUUUAAAACAUUCAUAAAAUAAUACUAUUUACAACAAACGUUUGUAAACUAAAUUUCAAUCCAUUUUAAACCUCUCAAGAACCCAUAAGCAGAAGCAAAAACACGUUUCCUAUGGCAUCACGUUUCCUUCCUGCCCCUCGCCUGUUUGCCGCCUUUAUUACCUUUGCCUGAAAAUUAAACAUAAGAAGGGUGAGUAUUUUAAAUACUCAGUAAGAGACCCUCUACUCGUCUCGUCAGGGGAAAAUAAAUUGUUAAGUUCUAUUGGGUCAUCCUGUACAGUCGCAGUCUUGUGAUCCCGUAGGAUACACAUCUCAGUCUAACGCCCCAAGGACGUACAUAUCAGUCUAACGCCCCGAGGGACGUACAUCUCAGUCUAACGCCCGAGGGACGUACAUAUCAGUCUAACGCCCGAGGGACGUACAUAUCAGUCUAGUGUUCUGCAGAAACACAUAUCAGUCAAAUGCUCCGAAGGUGCACAAUAAAUUGGUGAUCCCGUGGGACACCUACAAGGUAAACAUCCCAAUACAAUCUAACAAUUUAUCCCUUCAUUCCAUUCAACCCAUCUUUCAAUUACUUCAAGUCACAAAGUUCUUUCUUUCAACAUCCUAACAGUCAACUUAUUUUACUACAGUCAUAUGUCUGUCAAUAAUAUGCUAAUACAUCAGUCAAUCCACUAUACAGUCAAUGCACCCCUCAGUUUCCAGCACACAGUCAUACUUUAGCGUAAUCAUACACCCAAUCUAAACGAGAAUCACAAGUUCAUAUCUACAUCUCAUACCAACACAAUCUAAAAUCUUCGUCCUGUCCACAUACACACACUUAUAUAUAUGUUCCAUGACAAUCACGAUAUACAUUCGACGUUAAGUCUACUUCAAUUCAUAUGCAUUCAUAUAUAUUUUCAGUCAAACCACAGUAUACAUUCAACACACAUACAGUUCACAAUCACAAUUGAGUCCAGUAGAAAAUCCCUUACCUGGAUCUUUAUGUAAAAUUCCUUAGUCGAACUAACUUCAACAAACAAACCCCAAGAGUAAAGAAUCGAACUCCAACAAAGCUUAAGGCGUAACUCAAGGACACUAACUCCAAAUCACCGAUGUCGCCUUCAAGAACAAAGAUCAAUUCAACCAAUUAAACAACAUCACAUCUUAAUGUAUUUACAAAUGUAAGACCUUAUUACCGAACAAUCUCAUCCUUACCAAUAUCUUGUAACAAGACUUUGACAAUCGACGUUAAAUAGAAGUUGCCGCAGGAUCUACACAAAAGACAUCGUGCAAAACACUUUUGCACGCGAACUGGUCCGCGACGGUGGGUAUCGACGAAGGCAGAACGGUUCGGACGUUCAACAGCAGUUACGCGCGGAUGGGAGUAGCCCGGCAACGUAGCCGAAUUCGUGCGAUACGGCGUGACCUGCGUCGGCGAGGCUGUUCGUGACUGAGGCGUGCGACUUGCCUCGCGGACGGAGAUAGAGACGGCGGGAGACGGUUGCAGAACCGUGGCUUCGACAGAGACAGAACCGGCUGAGACGGUUGGGCAGCGGCGGAAGAGCAACGGCGCCGCAGAUCUGGACUGGCAGCGGCGUGGUCUUGCUUCGCGGCAGGGCUGCGGACGGAAGAAGAAAAUGGAAGGAAAGGAUCGGCGGCUGGCUGCAGUUGGCUGCGGCGCGGACGGGAAGAAGAAGAUAGAGGUGGUGAUUGCGGCUGGGCUGCGGCUGGGCACGAACGGAAGGAGAAGAGGACGGUUAGGGCGGUUGCUGCACGAACGGAGAGAAGGGGAAGGAGGUCGCGGCGCACGGGAGGAAGAAGAAAAGGGAAAAAAAGAAAUUUUCAUUUUCUUUUUCUUUUUAUUUAAAAAAUAUAUAAAAUAAUUAUAAUAAAAAAUAUAUAAAUAUAUAUAUAUAUAUAUAUAUAUAUAUUAUAUAUUAAAUUUUCAUUUUCUUUUCUUUUAUUUAAUAAAAUGUAGAAUAAAUAUAAUAAUAAAAAUAUAAUUAAAUACAUAUAUAUUUAAUUAUAUUAAUACAUUUUCAAAUCUUCUUUCUCCCCUUCAACAUAUUUAAAAAAAAAAUCUUGAACAAAUCGAAAUAAUUCUCUCAAAAUAAUUUACCUUCAAGUUUGGGGCGUUACAUUCUUCCCUCCUUAAGAAACUUUCGUCCUCGAAAGUUCUAAUCCUGAAAUAACUCUGGAUAACGAGUCCUCAUCUCUUCCUCUCGCUCCCAUGUCGCCUCUUUAAUUCGAUGAUUCCGCCACAAAACCUUUACUAAUGGAAUGCUUCUAUUACAAAGCAUCUUUACCUCUCUAGCCAGAAUCUCCACAGGUUGUUCUACAUAGCUCAAAUGAUCAUCAAUCUCCAAGGGUUCAUAGUCCACUACAUGAGAUGUAUCGGCCACAUACUUCCUCAACAUCGAAACAUGGAAAACAUUAUGAACUGCAGAGAGUGAUGGUGGUAAUGCCAAGCGAUACGCCACAACACCAACCCUCUCUAAGAUCUCAAAUGGUCCAACAAAACGAGGACUUAACUUCCCUUUCUUCUCAAAAAUCAUAACACCCUUCAUAGGUGCUACCUUCAAGAAUACCUUUUCUCCCACAUCGAACUUAAGGUCUUUUCGCCGUACAUCUGCAUAACUCUUCUGUCUACUCUGCGCUGUUUGCAUACGUGCUCUAAUCUUUUGAAUAGCCUCAUUAGUAGACCGAACUAAUUCAGGUCCCAUCAACCUAUGUUCACCAACCUCACUCCAACAAACAGGGGUUCUACAACAUUUGCCAUACAAAGCCUCAAAUGGUGCCAUACCGAUGGUAGCCUUGAAACUGUUGUUAUAAGCAAACUCCAUCAAAUGUAGAUGAGAGUCCCAACUACCUGGAAACUCUAUAACACAAGCUCGUAGCAUAUCCUCUAAAACUUGGUUCAAACGUUCAGUUUGACCAUCAGUCUGUGGAUGAAAGGCUGUACUAAAAUCCAAUCUCGUACCCAUAGCAGUCUGAAGUCCCUUCCAAAACUUGGAAGUAAACCGUGCACCCUAUCAGAAACAAUCGAUACAGGCACUCCAUGCAGUCUCACAAUCUCAGUUAAAUACAACUCUGCCCACUUACUAGCAGUAUAAGUGGAUUUUCCUGGUACAAAAUGUGUCGAUUUCGUAAGCCUGUCUAUGACAACCAAAAUCACUGUGAAACCCUUCAGGGUCUUAGGCAGCCCUGAAAUAAAAUCCAUCAACACAUUCUCUCCCACUUCCACUCUUGCACACUUAAGGGUUGUAACAAACCUGCUGGUUUCUGUCUAGGUGCCUUAACUUGCUGACAUACUAGACACUUACUAACAAAUUCCGCCACUUCCCUUUUCAUAUUCCGCCACCAAUAAAAUCGUUUUAGAUCCUGAUACAUUUUUGUGCUACUUGGAUGCAUGAGAAAUGGGAAACUAUGAGUCUCAACCAAUAACCUUGUCUUAAUUGCAUUUUCUGUUGGCUCACAUAAUUCUCUCUCAAACAUAAGUUCAUCAUCAAAGGAUAUGGAAAACUCCUUAACUUGCCCUACUUCUACUAGGCAAUGCUUCUCAAUCAAAUAAGGAUCAAUGAAUUGAACCACAAGAAUUCUUUGUCUCAAGAUCGGAUGUACUGACAACUGAGCUAACUUUGAGGUGACUUCCCCCACUAAAACUACAAUCUCAGCUCUCUCGUGGUUUUUGUCUAAUGAAACCUGUCUGGUAAUAAGUGCUGUCAAAAUGUGAUACUUUUCUACGAAGAGCACCAACUUCCACAUUCGCCUUACCUAGAUGGUACAAAAUCUCACAAUCAUAGUCAUUUACUAACUGAAACCAUCUUUGCUAUCUCAUACUCAACUUCUUUUGAGUGAAAAAGUAUUUUAUACUCUUUUGGUUAGAAAAUAUCUAUAUCUUUUCAUCAUACAUAUAGUGUCUUCAAAUCAUUAAUGUAAAAACCACAACUGUCAAUUCCAUAUCAUAAGUUGGACAAUUUUCCUCAUGACUCUUCAACUGACGAGGAGUACAAGCAACUACUUUAACUUGUUGAAUCAUAAUACCUUUUAAACUUUCCUAAAAGCAUCACUAUAAAUUACGAAACUUUCUGAACCAUCAUGUACGGUAAGCACGAGAGUUGUACAAGCUUCUGCUUAAGAUCCUAAACACUAUCCUCAUAGGCUUUGUCCCAAACAAACAGAGUCCCUUUUCUUAGUUAACUGAGUCAAAGGAGUAGCUAUACGAGAAAAUUCUUAUACAAACCGUUAGUAAUAACCUGCUGAACCCAAAAAGACUACGAACCUCACUGACUAUGAAAGGUUGAGGCCAACUGGUAACGACUUCAAUCUUUUAUGAGAUCCACAUAAAUGUCAUCUCUAGAUACCACAUGGCUUGGAAAGAUACUUGGCCUCAUCCGAAACUCACAUUUUGAAAACUUUGCAUACAAUUUGUUGACUCGAAGAGCCUCUAAAACCAUGUUAAAUGCUCCUCAUGCGCGCUGUCUCUAUUUUGGAAUAAAUUAAGAUAUCGUCAAUAGAUACAAUCACGAAAGUGUCUAAGAGAUCGUUAAACACUUUGUUCAUCAAGUCGUAAACAUUGUUUGAGCAUUUGCCAACUCAAAAGACAUCAUAAUGAACUCAUGAUGUCCAUAUCACGAACGAAAAUCUGCCAUAGGAAUGUCACUGUUCUCUAAUCCUCAACAAGCCAUAACCUGAAUGUAAUUCAAUCUUAAAGAACACGGACUUAUUGCAGUUGAUCAAACAAAUCCUCAUUCAUUGGUAAAAAAUAUUUAUUCUUAACUGACACCUUAUUCAACUUUCUACAAUCAAAACAUAAGUGCAUCGACCAUCUUUCUUCUUAAUAAACAAAAAUUGGUGCACCCCAAGAUAACAUACUUCGUCGAAUGUAGUCCUUGUCAAACAUUUCUUUCAAUUGCACCUUCAAAUCUUUCAACUCUGUUGGGGCCAUUUUGUAUGAAGCUUUAGAUAUAGGAACGAGUCUAACUCUAUCUCAAUAGCAAGACCAAUUUCUGUUUAGCGCGGUAAUCUUAGAAACUCUUCUAGAAAAAUAUCAUAAUACUUUUUCACCACUGAUUCAAAUAACAAAGAAACAUCGACUUCUCUGGUGUCUACCACACUAGUCAAAUACAACAGGUACCCUGGUCAAGCAACUUACUAACCUUCAUAGCUGGGAUAACUUUUAGCGAAACGAUAAUUCCAACCUCUUUGUACUUGAAACUAGCCCAUGGUUAAACUACAUUCCAAUUUUCAAACUCCAAACUAGUAACUUUUCAUUCACGAGAAACUCAAAAUUCUUUCUUAAAGUCACAUCAAGACAACCAUGCUCAUCUUCCUUGUUUCUUUUCCAAUACCUCCAUUCUAAAACUAUUUAAUGUGUUUCGUAUAAACUUGACCGUGUAUUUAGUCCUCGUUAAAACCACCUACAUAACUUAUUUUUCUUAGAUUUCCAAUCACAAAACAGACAAUUUCGCUAACAACGUCUUACUUUUCUACUACUCGACAACUCCUUUGAACACCUCUACAUGGCAACAUUUUUCCUAAAUUUCACCAUUAAAUCCUUCACCAUUAAAUCAUAACAUUCAUGUAAUUCUAGUUUAACUUAGGCAAGGUCAUAUACAUAAACCAUACAUAUAAGCAUAAAGCAUACCUGACGAGAGACGAAGGGUCGCGUUAGCCAUAGGGACACAAAAACAUAGACUUACAUCGUAAGUCAGUCUACAGAACCUAAAACUUAGGCUCUGAUACCAACUGUAACGACCCAACUUUUCUAAGUAAGUCUUAUUUUUUUUUUUCAAAUAAAAGCUUUGUUUAAUAUAAAACAAAACGUAAGCAAUUUAAAAAAAACAUCUUCAAGUCAGGCCUGAUUUUUAAACAUUCAAGAAAACAUAAAAUAAUACUAUUUACAACAAACGUUUGUAAACUAAAUUUCAAUCCAUUUUAAACCUCACAAGAACCCAUAAGCGGAAGCAAAAACACGUUUCCUAUGGCAUCACGUUUCCUUCCUGCCCCUCGCCUGUUUGCCGCCUUUAUUACCUUUGCCUGAAAAUUAAACAUAAGAAGGGUGAGUAUUUUAAAUACUCAGUAAGAGACCCUCUACUGGUCUCGUCAGGGGAAAAUAAAUUGUUAAAGUUCUAUUGGGACACCCUGUACAGUCGAAGUCUUGUGAUCCCUUAGGAUACACAUCUCAGUCUAACGCCCCGAGGGACGUACAUAUCAGUCUAACGCCCCGAGGGACGUACAUAUCAGUCUAACGCCCCGAGGGACGUACAUAUCAGUCUAGUGUUCUGCAGAAACACAUAUCAGUCAAAUGCUCCCGAAGGUGCACAAUAAAUUGGUGAUCCCGUGGGACACCUACAAGGUAAACAUCCC